rnacentral:rRNA from 1 species
GAUGAACGCUGGCGGCGUGCUUAACACAUGCAAGUCGAACGGAAAGGCCGAAGCUUGCUUCGGUCCUCGAGUGGCGAACGGGUGAGUAACACGUGGGUGAUCUGCCCUGUACUUCGGGAUAAGCUUGGGAAACUGGGUCUAAUACCGGAUAUGACGAUCUCUUGGGUGGGGUUGUGGAAAGCUUUUGCGGUAUGGGAUGAGCUCGCGGCCUAUCAGCUUGUUGGUGGGGUAAUGGCCUACCAAGGCGUCGACGGGUAGCCGGCCUGAGAGGGUGUACGGCCGCAUUAGGACUGAGAUACAGCCCAGACUCCUACGGGAUGCAGUAGUGGGGAAUAUUGCACAAUGGGCGCAAGCCUGAGGCAGCGACGCCGCGUGGGGGAUGACGGCCUUCGGGGUGUAAACUCCUUUAGCAAUCGACGAAGCCUUUUGGUGACGGUAGGUUGAGAAGAAGCACCGGCUAACUACGUG